rnacentral:lncRNA from 1 species
UCCAUUUUCUACUCUCAUCUGAUAUGACGCUCUGUUGACAGAAAGAUGAUUUAUUUGCUUUUCCACCAUCUCUGCAGAAUUCAUGCUUGUCACAUGGUGAAGUCUUCAUGAUUCACUGGGUUUCUGUAAAAAAAAUGCAUCUCUUUUUCUUCCUUUUUCAUAAGAUAAAUACUUUCUUGCCCAACUGUAUUGCAAGUGAUACACGACAAACAUGGGAUUAAAAAUUAAAACAAAGAUCCAAAAUUUUGUGCUCAUUGGUUGCUUGGUUGUGGUGACAAAAGUCUACUCAGACAUUUGGAAGCACAGAGGUUGCCACAAGGUGUGUCCUAAGUAGAUUUGGCUUGCCACAGGCAGCAUGAGAGAGGAGUGAAGGUUGACUGAUUAUAUGAGAUGAAGCAAGAAACAGGAAGAAGCAAGAAUCAAUGUGAAGUUAAGAAGAGAUUUGACUUGAUGGAUAUCUGUCUCCCCAUAACCAAGCUCUGGGAAGGACAGUUUAACACAAUGCAGAAGACUAGCUUGUUCUUAAAGCGGUGACAAGUAAAUGGUGACAUUGCCAAAUCAUAUCAGUAGGGUCUGGAUCUUCACCACAGGGAUUUGUGACAUCCAAGAAGUCAGCAAACAAAGGGUGGCAUUGCGAGUCUUCCUGUAUUCUGUCAAGGACUUCUCAGUCUUCAUGAUUGCUGUGUUGCUGUGGUGUAGCAGCUGUCUUGUUGCUGAUGUCCAAAGCUAGGGGUGCAUAAUAUCUUCUACUAAACCAUACAAGGUAGAUUCCUCCAACUGAAGAUCUAACUGAAAGGCUGCUUGGAAGAAUAUCAGUAACUGAAUAAGCUUAUAUAUUUCUAUGGGUGUUGCCAGGAUGCUGGCUAUAAGUAAUACAAGUGGGUAACAGCUGAAUAAAAUAAAAUUCA